AUCAGGAACAAACUCUUAAAAGAGCUAAGUGAUUAAAGCUCAAGGGAGUAUGCAGAGCAUAGCAAUCCCCAGUGUGAUAUAGCAGUUCCCUAUAAUCACGAGACAAGACUACGUGUUGAGGGUCAAGAAGAUCUGUUUUACUUGGCACCAAAGGGCCUUCCUUUAUGCAGGUUUUCCACACAUAGUACUACCCACAGGGUUUUUCAGAACAACCAAUAAACACAUUACAACACAUACAAUGCAAGUACAGCAGCCAAUCAGACACAAUGGGACAAUAGAAACACACCCAUCAUAUUCCUCCCCUCUGCUUAGGAGAUAAUUGAGUCAAUUACUGUAUCUACUCAAUUAUCUCCAAGCUGAAAAGUUACACUUUUUAUACAUUUUAAUAACUUUGUAAGUUUACAUCGUAC